ensembl:lncRNA
GUCUAUUAACAUCUUGGAAGACGUGAAACUUGCUGUCCAAAUGUCCUCUGCGACUAUUAAGGCUUCACAUUGGAGUGUUCCAUUGACAAUCCAAUGCCGUUUCAACUUCCAACUCCCCACAGAGCAUACAUUCAAAAGACUUUCAAUAAGGCAGGCAUGGAUUAGUAGGGGUAGAAAUGAAACUACAGGAGAAAAUGCUCCCCUUUCCCAUAAAGGAAAAGCAGAGAAAGAACUUCUGUCAAGCACUUGCUGCAGCUUUCAACAAUUAUAUUUUCAAUCAUUCCAGAUAAUAUGUUAUCUGAAGAAAAGCUAAAGUAAAAAAAAAAUCACAAAAUGUUCUAACCUGGAAAAUGGCAGAAUGGAUUAGUUCCAACAAGGACUGCUCGAGGAGCAGAUUGUCCCAGUUCUGGUUUCUGCUGGUGCUCUACUCUUUGGCCCCACGGGUUGGCAGCCUUCUAAGCGGCUGCUGUCCCUUUCAGUGGGUAAAGGCAUGAGGCAGUGAUCACAGACACCUGGCUAUGGCUUACAGCAGAAUCACACAACGGUACGCAUGAAAGGGCAAGAGCUGGAGAGAUUCUGGAUUGGGCCCGAAUCACUAAUCAUGUCACUUCAUGAAUAAAAGCAAGGGCUUUGUAAGCUUACGUUAUUUACAGUGCUCCGGUUUCCAAACAUCCACCCGAAGUUGAGGACCAGCACACCACAGGGAACAGUUCAGUGAACUAUGUACAGAAUUUACAAGGAAGUUUACACAGUAAUCUACAUUCCAUGAACAACUGGACCUUUGCGUUUUCUUUCAAGAAUAUAUGGGUGCUUUUCUGUUCUGUUCAUCCUGGAAACUGCCAAGUGAACCAUCUCGAGCAAGUGGUUGAAAGCUCCUUUCACCCCUUCCUAGGAUAAACGAUUUAUACUUUAUGAAACACAUGGUGGCACGUCACCCCUUUGACAAGAUACUGUCCAAAAUUUUGGACAUGAGAAAUCUCAGAGACAUUUUUUUUUUCUUUUAGAAAGAUCAUCCUGUUCUCUUUUUGUUUAACCUGGCAGAUUGUAAUCAAACCCCUUCUAAAUGAAUAUUCAUAAAAUAGUCAUUGGGUUUAGGAAGAUGGAAUUUUUGUGAAUUUUCUAUGGCUUUCUUAAGGGAAAGUCCUUU